UGGGGAAUAUUGGACAAUGGGCGAAAGCCUGAUCCAGCCAUGCCGCGUGUGUGAAGAAGGUCUUCGGAUUGUAAAGCACUUUAAGUUGGGAGGAAGGGCAGUAAGCGAAUACCUUGCUGUUUUGACGUUACCGACAGAAUAAGCACCGGCUAACUCUGUGCCAGCAGCCGCGGUAAUACAGAGGGUGCAAGCGUUAAUCGGAAUUACUUGGCGUAAAGCGCGCGUAGGUGGUUCGUUAAGUUGAAUGUGAAAGCCCCGGGCUCAACCUGGGAACUGCAUCCAAAACUGGCGAGCUAGAGUAGGGCAGAGGGUGGUGGAAUUUCCUGUGUAGCGGUGAAAUGCGUAGAUAUAGGAAGGAACACCAGUGGCGAAGGCGACCACCUGGGCUCAUACUGACACUGAGGUGCGAAAGCGUGGGGAGCAAACAGG
rnacentral:rRNA from 1 species